GGGGAAUUUUCCGCAAUGGGCGCAAGCCUGACGGAGCAACGCCGCGUGAGGGAUGAAGGCCUCUGGGCUGUAAACCUCUUUUCUCAAGGAAGAAGAUCAGACGGUACUUGAGGAAUAAGCCACGGCUAAUUCCGUGCCAGCAGCCGCGGUAAUACGGGAGUGGCAAGCGUUAUCCGGAAUUAUUGGGCGUAAAGCGUCCGCAGGCGGCCUUGAAAGUCUGUUGUUAAAGCGUGGAGCUUAACUCCAUUUCAGCAAUGGAAACUACAAGGCUAGAGUGUGGUAGGAGCAGAGGGGAUUCCCGGUGUAGCGGUGAAAUGCGUAGAUAUCGGGAAGAACACCAGUGGCGAAGGCGCUCUGCUGGGCCAUAACUGACGCUCAUGGACGAAAGCCAGGGGAGCGAAAGGGAUUAGAUACCCCUGUAGUC
rnacentral:rRNA from 1 species